GGUCGUAACCUCAUCCGAAUUUGAGAAUUUAGGAAAACUCAUAAAAUGAAAGUUGUAGAUAAUUGAAAUACCUUUCCAACCAUAUAUUAUGGGCUUAUAGGUGACAUCUGGAUAAGGAGAUAUGGACGAUGCAAGUUGGGCUGGCAGAACAGCAACUUGAGACCCAACCCAAGCAUUUACAUUUCGGCCCAUGAGUAUAUUUUGACCCAUGAGGCCCAUUAAUGUUAACAUAUCUGGAAAAUUCAGUAAAUUGCUGAUCAUUUUACAUCUAGGAACUUCCAAAAUAUUAGAGAAAGAGAGAGAAGAGAGUAGAGACAAAAAAACCAAGAUUUGACCAAAAUCGGAGCCCCGAAUUCCGAAGCUCGUGAAGAGAAAAGUGUUGUGCGUUGCAUUGCCUUCAUUUUGAGCCAAAAAUUAUCUAAGAAGGAGAGUGGUGACUUGGUUGCUGCAUACUUAAGGUAUAUAUGCUCUUGUACAAGCUAAGAGGAAUUUUUUUGACGAAGUGGACUUUGGUCGGUCUAUGGCGUAGAUGAUUUGAACUCCUCGAGUUGUGGUAGAACUUGUUAUGUGGUAAAACGUCAAGGUAAUGCGCGAGAUGAGGUAUGAAGAUGGCCAAUGGAGUAGACUUUUUGGGAGCCCAUGUGAAGAUCACAUCUGCAUAUGCAUCUAGUUUUUGUAAAUUUUCGGGGACUUGUACAUGAUACAUGUGUGGCACUUAUGUA